UACGAAGGGUGCGAGCGUUGUUCGGAAUUACUGGGCGUAAAGGGCGUGUAGGCGGACUGCUAAGUCAGGUGUGAAAGCCCGGGGCUCAACCCCGGAUGUGCACUUGAUACUGGCAGUCUUGGAUCCAGGAGGGGAUUGUGGAAUUCCAAGUGUAGAGGUGAAAUUCGUAGAUAUUUGGAAGAACACCAGUGGCGAAGGCGACAAUCUGGACUGGUAUCGACGCUGAGGCGCGAAAGUGUGGGGAGCAAACAGG
rnacentral:rRNA from 1 species